rnacentral:rRNA from 1 species
CUAAGCGCCUUCUCCAAUGCAAGGACCGGGACUUCCAACACCCGGACAACCUUCCGCGAUCCGUCCCCCCAUCGCAUUUAACAAUGGUGCAGGAAUAUUAACCUGCUUCCCAUCAGCUACGCAUUUCUGCCUCGCCUUAGGGGCCGACUCACCCUACGCCGAUGAACGUUGCGUAGGAAACCUUGGGCUUACGGCGAGGGGGCCUUUCACCCCCUUUAUCGCUACUCAUGUCAGCAUUCGCACUUCCGAUACCUCCAGCACACUUUUCAAUGCACCUUCGCAGGCUUACGGAACGCUCUCCUACCAUGCGUGC